rnacentral:rRNA from 1 species
UACGUAGGGGGCUAGCGUUGUCCGGAAUCAUUGGGCGUAAAGCGCGUGUAGGCGGUCCGGUAAGUCCGCUGUGAAAGUCGGGGGCUCAACCCUCGGAUGCCGGUGGAUACUGUCGGGCUUGAGUACGGAAGAGGCGAGUGGAAUUCCUGGUGUAGCGGUGAAAUGCGCAGAUAUCAGGAGGAACACCGGUGGCGAAGGCGGUUCUCUGGGAAUGUACUGACGCUGAGGAGCGAAAGUGUGGGGAGCGAACAGG